rnacentral:rRNA from 1 species
UACGGGAGGCAGCAGUGGGGAAUAUUGCACAAUGGGCGAAAGCCUGAUGCAGCGACGCCGCGUGAGUGAUGAAGUAUUUCGGUAUGUAAAGCUCUAUCAGCAGGGAAGAUAAU